rnacentral:rRNA from 1 species
AAAACGACUCUCGGCAACGGAUAUCUCGGCUCUCGCAUCGAUGAAGAACGCAGCGAAAUGCGAUACUUGGUGUGAAUUGCAGGAUCCCGUGAACCAUCGAGUUUUUGAACGCAAGUUGCGCCCGAAGCCUUUUGGCCGAGGGCACGUCUGCCUGGGUGUCACUC